GAUGAACGCUGGCGGCGUGCCUAAUACAUGCAAGUCGAGCGAACAGAUGAGGAUCUUGCUCCUCUGACGUUAUCGGCGGACGGGUGAGUAACACUUGGAUAACCUACCUAUAAGACUGUGAUAACUUCGGGAAACCGGAGCUAAUACCGGAUAAUAUAUUGAACCGCAUGGUUCAAUAGUGAAAGACGGUUUUGCUGUCACUUAUAGAUGGAUCCGCGCCGCAUUAGCUAGUUGGUAAGGUAACGGCUUACCAAGGCAACGAUGCGUAGCCGACCUGAGAGGGUGAUCGGACACACUGGAACUGAGACACGGUCCAGACUCCUACGGGAGGCAGCAGUAGGGAAUCUUACGCAAUGGGCGAAAGCCUGACGGAGCAAAGCCGCGUGAGUGAUGAAGGUCUUCGGAUCGUAAAACUAUGUUAGUAGGGAAGAACAAAUGUGUAAGUAACUAUGAACGUAUUGACGGUACCUAAUCAGAAAGCCACGGCUAACUACGUG
rnacentral:rRNA from 1 species